rnacentral:rRNA from 1 species
AAUAGAUACCCGGGUAGUCCACGCCGUAAACGUUGGAUACUAGGUGUGGCGGUUAUACCAAUGACUGCCGUGCCGAAGCUAACGCAUUAAGUAUCCCGCCUGGGGAGUACGGCCGCAAGGCUAAAACUCAAAGGAAUUGACGGGUCCCCGCACAAGCGGCGGAGCAUGCGGCUUAAUUCGAUGCAACCCGAAGAACCUUACCUGGGUUUGACAUCACGGGAAAAGCUGUAGAAAUACAGUGUCCAUUAGGGCCCGUGACAGGUGGUGCAUGGCUGUCGUCAGCUCGUGUCGUGGGAUGUUGGGUUAAGUCCCGCAACGAGCGCAACCCUUGUCCUAUGUUGCCAGCGGUUCGGCCGGGGACUCAUAGGAGACUGCCGGGGAUAACUCGGAGGAAGGUGAGGACGACGUCAAGUCAUCAUGCCCCUUAUAUCCAGGGCUGCACGCAUGCUACAAUGGCCGGUACAACGGGCAGCGACCCCGCGAGGGUGAGCGAAUCCUAAAAAGCCGGUCCUAGUUCGGAUUGAAGUCUGCAACUCGACUUCA